rnacentral:lncRNA from 1 species
UUGCUAAAGCAAAACUUGCAACAAGGGCCGCAAUAAAUUUGUAGGAUAAAGCAUUAAAAUCUUUCCCAUAGACUGAUUUUGUAUCGACUGGCUGUAGACAUUCCAACCAUGCAACGGCCAUGGCUUCAGAAUCAUUCCAUCGUUUCACACGCUCCAUAUCACUAUCAUGCCUCCGCUGCGCAGAAGUAGCCAUUGCAACAGCACUGAGACCUCUUCCAGAACCAAUCUUUGCAUUGCGUUCAAGAUCACGUGCAGCAGCUAAGGCCGCAGCUUUUGCAGCUGCCUUGUCUUUGGGAAGAGACGGUGAGUUGUUAGGCAUGUCCAGAGGUUUGUGAAAGCUAGAAAAAUGUUGCAGCUUAGUAGUUUUCCGCUCAAGUAUUGAGGAGUCACGUUUAAGCUGUGUGGCUGUUGGAGCAGGAAUUUCUCCUCCGCUAGCGCCUGCAGCAAUCAUUGCCAAUGCCAUUGCAGCUGGUGGUGAUGCAAAAGCAGCCGCCCAAGAUGGAGAGAUCAUUGCAAGAGCUGCCUGAAAAACAAAGAAAAAGAAAGAAAAGGACAAUUAGUGAAUCUUAAAUAAUGAAACAAUAACAAAAAGAUGGAAAGGGAAUAAAUGUACAAAAAGGUCAACAAGCAACUCCGGAAAUUUUCCAAUAAGCAUGCAUGCACAAACACAUUUGUAGGACAGGGAGUUAACACUGCUAACACUAGGAAAGACAAGUUUGAACCCUAAACUAAGAAACUAUUUUAAGGAGUUAAGAAUGAUACUGAUAUGUAGCAACCUCUAAUGGCAGUGCAUCAGCAGCCAGUGCACGAUCAUCAACGUUAAGAGGAUUCAAACCAUCAGCAGUAGCAAGUUCAUGAAUUCCUGCCAAAAGUGGUCGCCACCUCCUCAAAACAGCAACAAAAGGUGGUACAAUGGCCUCAAGGUACUGUUUUCGAAGUGGCUUUCUGUCCCUCCCAACAGCAUGCCACACCUGCAGCAUAGACCACAUUUAUUUCACUGCAAAAUAUCAAUGAACAACCUAGAUAUCCAUAGAAACAUAAGAAAGGAAGAAACAAAACCAAAUAUUCCAUUAUGUUUUCAUGAAAAAAUGAAUAUGAUAAUAGAUGAGAACAUAACAGAGAAGAAAAAAAUAGCUAUGCUACAAAAUGUUGAUAAAAAACUAUACCAUAAAAACAAAUAAAUAAAGAGUUUGCUGCUAUUCACACUAAGCUGAUUCAAUUAAACUAACCUCAGAAUAUAGAACACAGGAUGCUACCAAAACUCUCUGUCUCUUGGAAUCAGAAAUCGGCAUGUUCAGAAUAGGAGAAAGAACACUGCACAUAGUUUAAAUGAAUAAGUUCUGAAAUUCAUUGUGCAUGAAUCAUGGAAAUGAAGCAGAAAUAUCAUUGGACUACAAAGUCAAAGAGCACCAAACCAUAAUUUUUAGGGAAUGCAUAAGCAUAUGAAAAGUAGAGAGAGGGAGAUAAAGCAGGCACUCUAGUGCAUACUGAUGUGCACUUAUGUGUCGUUGUUAUUGGUUAAGAUUCCUCUGAUUAACUUACGUCCACAGUAAAGCAAAGUGCAUAGAUAAGCACACAUAUGUAUCCUAGUGGUUAUUGGAUAAGAUUUCCUCUGUUUAACAUACCUCCACAAUAAAGCAGACCGCGGUUUCCUUGCUGCCAUCCGACCACUGUUAUCUAAGGAUACAAUGUUGCCUCGAUACAGUCCUUCAGACAUUCCAUCUUCUACGCCUACAUUUCUCAUGAUCAUGUUGUCUUCUCCAUUAUCUUCUUCCCUCAUUGAAAGAAGUACCAUGCGAAGCAUGCAUAAAAAGGGUUGGUCACUGUCCAGUAACUGGUAAAGUGCAGCC